UACGAAGGGGGCUAGCGUUGCUCGGAAUCACUGGGCGUAAAGCGCACGUAGGUGGGUCGCUGAGUCGGGGGGUGAAAGCCCCCGGCUCAACCGGGGAAGUGCAUCCGAAACUGGCAGGCUAGAGUACGAAAGAGGGUCGCGGAAUUCCCGGUGUAGAGGUGAAAUUCGUAGAUAUCGGGAGGAACACCGGUGGCGAAGGCGGCGACCUGGGUCGAUACUGACGCUGAGGUGCGAAAGCGUGGGGAGCAAACAGG
rnacentral:rRNA from 1 species